ensembl:lncRNA
CACAACUGUUUCUCAAUAGAUCUCUGGAAUCAUAAUUUUUUCCCUCAGUAUCAUGCAAAUGACUCACUGUUGGCCAGCUCUUCGUUCAUAGAUUGCAUUCAGUGGCCCCUCGCCAAGCCAUUGUCCCAUAAUUAAUGACUCAUUCCCAGUUCUUUCCACCAGUAAGGUCAUUACAAUAUACAUAUUAAACCUUGGAGGGUGUGUAGGGAGCAAAGCCAAACAAAAUGUAUUUACAUGAUCAAUAAAACAUUCAAUAGGGUUUCUAAACUUUUUUUUAAAGACAUGGUACAUGGUACAUAAUAAUGAUGUAGGUGAUACUAAAACUAACAUUCAAUUUACACAUUGUGAUAGAAAAAGAAUUGCCGUAAUCCCAAUUAUCAUGCGCACAUAAUUAAUAAUUCUGGGUAACAUAGACAGCGUUCACUCAACACAGAUGAAGCAGUUUAUGAAAUGAUGCAUCCAAGCAAAUUGAAUUAUACCAUCUGUGGUUUAUGUGGUUUUAAGCCUCAGGGGACAGCUUAGAUUGUUGUUGACAUGCAGCCAUUAUGGUUGCUACAGUAUGUCAGCAUUGCUUUGUGUUCAAACAUCCAAACCCAUGAACACAUGCACAUGCAAGUCUGGCUUUAAAUAUUAAGGAUAUAGAAAUCAAAAGUACUAUUUGACUUCAAAGAUAUAGAAGCUCAGAUCCAGGUCGAGAUACAGCGUGCAGAUUGGUUGCCGAAUUACAGAAAUGGCUGUAUUUGUGUGUCUACACCUUUCUCUAUCUUAGAAAACACUUUCAUUGCAUAUUUCCUCCCAAAAUAAUACCCCCUGUGCUUUGCGUAUAUGCAUCAGGCCUGGGCAAAAGGCCAGUGCUGUCCAACAUAUUUGCAGAAUCUCAAAGGAUUCAACAACAUAGAGCCUACAAUAGGAGAUGGUCCAAGCAAAAAUCAAAUCUGCCCGUCUGAAUAAAUAUCAUCUUGCCGCUCCAAGAUAACCUGUCUGCUGAACACAGCUGCUUGACACACAUACACACACAAACCGAAAGACACACACUCACACACACACACACACACACACACACACACACACACACACACACAUACAGACACAAGGAUCCGGGCUGGGUGAAAAAUAAGCUUUGGACAUGACAGGCAUGCAGACAGACAACCAUGUGUAAAAAUGCCUAUCCAUCCAUCCAUUCACCCCUCCACUUAUCCAACCAUCCAUUUGUUCACCCGUCCAUCUGUCUGCCAAUUCGUUUGUCGGUCCAUCGAUCCCCCCCAUCCAUCUGUCUGCUCAUCCAUCCAUCAAACGUGGUUUACCAUUAAGGUCUGAGGCAGCAACUCCAACAUUGAAGCCUGGGAGAUAUUGAGAGGUUCUUGGAAUAAUCCAAGACAAUAAGGUGAGAAAGGUAUGGGUUUGUCACUGGGGCUAUGGCAGGAGGCAGGAAAAGGGUCCAGAUCUAACAAUGACCCAUGGGAACCAACCAAGAACGCACAAUGAACUCUGGGGAAGAAGCUAAAUUAGUGAUGUGCAUUAAUGAGAUGUGAAUUCGUAUAGAAGGAGAGAGAGCGUAGAGAGGAUCUCAGCGUGUUCUGAGAAAUCCUGCGGCCUGUAGCUGCAUAUCUAAGGGAUGGUCCAGGCUAACUUGAGCCUGCCCUAACUAUAAGAUUUAUUAAAGAGGAAACUUUUAAGCUUUGUCUUAAAUUAGGUGACUGUGUAUGUACCCCGGACGAAAGGUGGAAGCUGGUUCCACAAAAGAGGAACUUGAUAACUGAA